rnacentral:rRNA from 1 species
UACAGGGGAGGGACAGCUGUUGUCGAAUUACUGGGCGUAAAGGGAGCGUAGGCGGAUAGUUUAGUCAGAGGUGAAAGCCCAGGGCUCAACCUUGGAAUUGCCUUUGAUACUGGCUAUCUUGAGUACGGAAGAGGUAUGUGGAACUCCGAGUGUAGAGGUGAAAUUCGUAGAUAUUCGGAAGAACACCAGUGGCGAAGGCGACAUACUGGUCCGUUACUGACGCUGAGGCUCGAAAGCGUGGGGAGCAAACAGGG